rnacentral:rRNA from 1 species
AACGAACGCUGGCGGCAGGCUUAACACAUGCAAGUCGAACGCAUGCCUUCGGGCAUGAGUGGCAGACGGGUGAGUAACGCGUGGGAACCUACCCCUUGGUACGGGAUAGCUCCGGGAAACUGGAGAUAAUACCGUAUGUGUCCUGAGGGACAAAGAUACAUCGCCAAGGGAUGGGCCCGCGUCGGAUUAGCUAGUUGGUGGGGUAACGGCCUACCAAGGCGACGAUCCGUAGCUGGUCUAAGAGGAUGAUCAGCCACAUUGGGACUGAGACACGGCCCAAACUCCUACGGGAGGCAGCAGUGGGGAAUAUUGGACAAUGGGCGCAAGCCUGAUCCAGCCAUGCCGCGUGAGUGAUGAAGGCCCUAGGGUUGUAAAGCUCUUUCACCGGUGACGAUAAUGACGGUAACCGGAGAAGAAGCCCCGGCUAACUUCGUG